rnacentral:rRNA from 1 species
GGGUUGUGAGGUUAAGCGACUAAGCGUACACGGUGGAUGCCCUGGCAGUCAGAGGCGAUGAAGGACGUGCUAAUCUGCGAUAAGCGUCGGUAAGGUGAUAUGAACCGUUAUAACCGGCGAUUUCCGAAUGGGGAAACCCAGUGUGAUUCGUCACACUAUCAUUAACUGAAUCCAUAGGUUAAUGAGGCGAACCGGGGGAACUGAAACAUCUAAGUACCCCGAGGAAAAGAAAUCAACCGAGAUUCCCCCAGUAGCGGCGAGCGAACGGGGAGGAGCCCAGAGCCUGAAUCAGUGUGUGUGUUAGUGGAAGCGUCUGGAAAGGCGCGCGAUACAGGGUGACAGCCCCGUACACAAAAAUGCACAUGCUGUGAGCUCGAUGAGUAGGGCGGGACACGUGGUAUCCUGUCUGAAUAUGGGGGGACCAUCCUCCAAGGCUAAAUACUCCUGACUGACCGAUAGUGAACCAGUACCGUGAGGGAAAGGCGAAAAGAACCCCGGCGAGGGGAGUGAAAAAGAACCUGAAACCGUGUACGUACAAGCAGUGGGAGCCUCUUUAUGGGGUGACUGCGUACCUUUUGUAUAAUGGGUCAGCGACUUAUAUUCUGUAGCAAGGUUAACCGAAUAGGGGAGCCGAAGGGAAACCGAGUCUUAACUGGGCGUUAAGUUGCAGGGUAUAGACCCGAAACCCGGUGAUCUAGCCAUGGGCAGGUUGAAGGUUGGGUAACACUAACUGGAGGACCGAACCGACUAAUGUUGAAAAAUUAGCGGAUGACUUGUGGCUGGGGGUGAAAGGCCAAUCAAACCGGGAGAUAGCUGGUUCUCCCCGAAAGCUAUUUAGGUAGCGCCUCGUGAACUCAUCUCCGGGGGUAGAGCACUGUUUCGGCAAGGGGGUCAUCCCGACUUACCAACCCGAUGCAAACUGCGAAUACCGGAGAAUGUUAUCACGGGAGACACACGGCGGGUGCUAACGUCCGUCGUGAAGAGGGAAACAACCCAGACCGCCAGCUAAGGUCCCAAAGUCAUGGUUAAGUGGGAAACGAUGUGGGAAGGCCCAGACAGCCAGGAUGUUGGCUUAGAAGCAGCCAUCAUUUAAAGAAAGCGUAAUAGCUCACUGGUCGAGUCGGCCUGCGCGGAAGAUGUAACGGGGCUAAACCAUGCACCGAAGCUGCGGCAGCGACGCUUAUGCGUUGUUGGGUAGGGGAGCGUUCUGUAAGCCUGCGAAGGUGUACUGUGAGGUAUGCUGGAGGUAUCAGAAGUGCGAAUGCUGACAUAAGUAACGAUAAAGCGGGUGAAAAGCCCGCUCGCCGGAAGACCAAGGGUUCCUGUCCAACGUUAAUCGGGGCAGGGUGAGUCGACCCCUAAGGCGAGGCCGAAAGGCGUAGUCGAUGGGAAACAGGUUAAUAUUCCUGUACUUGGUGUUACUGCGAAGGGGGGACGGAGAAGGCUAUGUUGGCCGGGCGACGGUUGUCCCGGUUUAAGCGUGUAGGCUGGUUUUCCAGGCAAAUCCGGAAAAUCAAGGCUGAGGCGUGAUGACGAGGCACUACGGUGCUGAAGCAACAAAUGCCCUGCUUCCAGGAAAAGCCUCUAAGCAUCAGGUAACAUCAAAUCGUACCCCAAACCGACACAGGUGGUCAGGUAGAGAAUACCAAGGCGCUUGAGAGAACUCGGGUGAAGGAACUAGGCAAAAUGGUGCCGUAACUUCGGGAGAAGGCACGCUGAUACGUAGGUGAAGUCCCUUGCGGAUGGAGCUGAAAUCAGUCGAAGAUACCAGCUGGCUGCAACUGUUUAUUAAAAACACAGCACUGUGCAAACACGAAAGUGGACGUAUACGGUGUGACGCCUGCCCGGUGCCGGAAGGUUAAUUGAUGGGGUUAGCGGUAACGCGAAGCUCUUGAUCGAAGCCCCGGUAAACGGCGGCCGUAACUAUAACGGUCCUAAGGUAGCGAAAUUCCUUGUCGGGUAAGUUCCGACCUGCACGAAUGGCGUAAUGAUGGCCAGGCUGUCUCCACCCGAGACUCAGUGAAAUUGAACUCGCUGUGAAGAUGCAGUGUACCCGCGGCAAGACGGAAAGACCCCGUGAACCUUUACUAUAGCUUGACACUGAACAUUGAGCCUUGAUGUGUAGGAUAGGUGGGAGGCUUUGAAGUGUGGACGCCAGUCUGCAUGGAGCCGACCUUGAAAUACCACCCUUUAAUGUUUGAUGUUCUAACGUUGGCCCCUAAUCGGGGUUGCGGACAGUGUCUGGUGGGUAGUUUGACUGGGGCGGUCUCCUCCUAAAGAGUAACGGAGGAGCACGAAGGUUGGCUAAUCCUGGUCGGACAUCAGGAGGUUAGUGCAAUGGCAUAAGCCAGCUUGACUGCGAGCGUGACGGCGCGAGCAGGUGCGAAAGCAGGUCAUAGUGAUCCGGUGGUUCUGAAUGGAAGGGCCAUCGCUCAACGGAUAAAAGGUACUCCGGGGAUAACAGGCUGAUACCGCCCAAGAGUUCAUAUCGACGGCGGUGUUUGGCACCUCGAUGUCGGCUCAUCACAUCCUGGGGCUGAAGUAGGUCCCAAGGGUAUGGCUGUUCGCCAUUUAAAGUGGUACGCGAGCUGGGUUUAGAACGUCGUGAGACAGUUCGGUCCCUAUCUGCCGUGGGCGCUGGAGAACUGAGGGGGGCUGCUCCUAGUACGAGAGGACCGGAGUGGACGCAUCACUGGUGUUCGGGUUGUCAUGCCAAUGGCACUGCCCGGUAGCUAAAUGCGGAAGAGAUAAGUGCUGAAAGCAUCUAAGCACGAAACUUGCCCCGAGAUGAGUUCUCCCUGACUCCUUGAGAGUCCUGAAGGAACGUUGAAGACGACGACGUUGAUAGGCCGGGUGUGUAAGCGCAGCGAUGCGUUGAGCUAACCGGUACUAAUGAACCGUGAGGCUUAACCUUACAACGCCGAAG